UUGGGCACAGAGAAGAUGUAACAACUGUGAGGGAGCAGCUUUCAGGCAUCCUCAAAAGGAAGAAGUGGAACUGCUUUUUGCCUUAAUUCAGAGAGGAGACCAGAAGAGGACAGAAUUAGUACAAAGGAAAUGGAAAGGAAGGCAGUGAAACAAGAACUUGAAGAGAGUGAGAGCCAGUAAUGGAUGCUAUAACAGAGAAAGUGCAUAGAAAUUUUUUACCUUCAGAAGACCUGGUAGUGUAUGUGGGAGUUGGUCCUGUGUCAACCAACCUAACAAAAAAACAAACAAACAAACAAACAAAAAACUAGGAAAUAAC